UCUCUCUGAAUCUGCGAACGGCUCCGCAAACCAGUUGUAAACUAGAGCAAGCAAGUCUGGCGGGCUUCGGCCUCCAGGCGAUAUGGAUAACCCUGGUAAUUCUGAGGCUAAUACAUGACCGCAAAACCGGGCAGCCCAGCAAUGGAUGCUCGGGGAUGUGCGAUAUGGCUUGACAAUGACCGGGAAAGGACGCACACUCAGACCGCGCUAAAAAGGAUCGGGACUCCCUUCGGGGAACCUGGCCCCAGCGGCUCUUGCUGUGUGCUUCUGACCUAUCAACUAGACGGCAGCGUAAUGGACAUGCUAUGGUGACAACGGGUACAGAGGAUUAGGGUUCGAUCCUGGAGAGUGGGCCUGAGAGAUU
rnacentral:rRNA from 3 species